rnacentral:sRNA from 2 species
GGCCAAUUGGUUGCUGGUGUCUUUGCAAAUACAUGCCAUGCUGUAGAUAUUCAUGUUGGGCAACCCCCACCAAAGCAUUUUACCUUUUGGAGGCGCACCGGUGGUGGGGGUCGCCAAUCCUUUUGGCCUAGUGCAACUGCACAGUCGGUGUUUACUGCAUAGGUGAACGAGGUUCGGAGCUUUGCCAAAAGGAUUGAACCACACCAGGGUCGCAGAGAGCCAUCCCAUGGAACUAUGGGUAACUCCACCAGAAGAUAUUGUCAUGGAUACUAGUAUAUGAGCUUAAUAGCAAAAUGAUGCAGGUGGAAGGUUGCUUCAUUGUAACUCCUAUCUAACGGGGUCAGCACUGUUUCCUUGGAAAGGUUAAAUAGGUGUGGGUCACGCGGCCUUCCAGCAAGGGAUAGGGAUGCUAACAAAAGAAAAAAAAAGGAAAAGAAAAGAAAAAAAGUGCCCUAGACGCAGUGCUUCAGUGAACAUUGUGGAAUGGUUCAAAGGCGCAUGCCGGUUUC